rnacentral:rRNA from 1 species
UACAGGGGGUGCAAACGUUGCUCGGAAUCAUUGGGCGUAAAGCGCACGUAGGCGGUUUGUUAUGUCGGAUGUGAAAGCCCUUGGCUCAACUGAGGAAGUGCAUCCGAAACUGGCAAGCUAGAGUACUAAAGAGGGUCGCGGAAUUCCCGGUGUAGAGGUGAAAUUCGUAGAUAUCGGGAGGAACACCAGCGGCGAAGGCGGCCACCUGGACGGAUACUGACGCUGAGACGCGAAAGCGUGGGGAGCAAACAGG